rnacentral:lncRNA from 1 species
AUAUCCUCAUCCAUCCAUCCAGGAGCAUCCACUGGGCAUUAGCUCGAAGCUCGGGACUCGCCGCGACGACGCGAUCGAUCGGACAUCGGAGUGAGCGAGUUAGUAGGUGACUAGGUGUUCGAUCACCGUGCCUGGUGGCUGUGGUCGAUCUAACUAGCUAGCUAGCUCGAUCGAUCGCCGGAAUUAAUGGCAGCCAUGGCGUCGCCGACCUCGCCGUCGUCGUUCCUCCCGGCGCACCUCCUGCGGCCCCACGCCGCGUCGCUCGCCGGCGCAAACGUGUUGGUGAGGGACGCUCCGCCUGAGACAGGCGGGGGCCCGCACCACAACGCCGUCCUCCGACAGCCGCCGGUGAUGUUGGCGGCGGCGGCGGGCACUCCGGAGCAAGGCAGUGGCCCACACUACAACGCGGUCACGCAGUGGAAGCCCAGGGGAGGAGAUCAACUCCGACUGCCCGCGUCGCCGCCGGUGAUCUUGGCGGCGGCGAGCACUCCGGAGCAAGGCAACGGCCCCAAGACCAACGCCGUCCUCAGGCGGCCAACGCCGCCCGGUGGCGCCGGACCUAGAGAAGGCAGCGGCGGACGCGGCGGAGUGAUCCACGCCGUCGCCGACUCCGCGCCGCAGAGGCCAGGCGCGCCGGCGGAGGGCGCCGGCGGCAAUGGUGGAGCUGUCCAUGUCGCCCCUGCUGCUGCUGCCUCUUCUUGAGUAGAAAGCUAAUGAAAAACGCACAAAAUUAAAUUAAGAUCUGAUUAAUUUCCAAAAUUAAAGUAAGAUUUUCUAGAGGUAGCUAGAUUACUGUAUAUGAUAUUAUGAUGUAGUGGUAGUACGUACAUGUACAUGUCUGAGUUGAAGUUCAGAUAAAAAUGUCUGAACUUCAGUUGGAAAUGAAGGGAAUAAAAUCAAGCAGAUUAUAUAAAAUCAAGCAGAUUACCAAAUAUCAUGCCUUGCAUAUACUCCUAUUCAAGUUCCUUUCUACUUUGAUUUUGUAAUAUAUUAUAGUUCAGAUCUUUGUGCAUGAAACCCUGUAAUUAAAACGAGCUCUAAAGCCUACACUAGUGCUAUACAUAAUACUUUUUCGAAACAAGUUGCAUAAGAUAGUGCGACGUUUCUAUUAUAUAGUUGGAAAAAAAAUACAAGUCCAUGGUCUUGGAAGUCUAUAGUCAGGAAAAAGAAAAAGACAAUCACAUCAUACGUAUACGUAUGAUCCUACUGCUAGAAAUAGAACAAACAGACAACACCCAUAAGGAAUGGGUCUUCUGAACGACGCCAAUGCACGAGCACCGUCCGCCUCCAUCCGUCCUAAAGAACCAGGACUUGGUUUUCACCUAAAUAACCCAUUAGGAGUAAUAAGCUGUUAUACAUAAUACAUUUGUAACAAACUGUUUGAUAUACAUCAUGAGUAAAUUGGCACCAGGAUAUAUUGGACCAUACAAAAUUCAAGCUAGACGUGAAGAAGUUGCAUAUCAGUUGGAAUUACUAGAAGAAUUUGCAGGUAUACAUCUAGUAUUUCAUGUAUCACAAUUAAGGAAGUGUCUCAGAAAACCAACAAAUCAAGUUCCACUACAAGAACUAGAACUACAACCAGACCUAAAAUAUGAAGAAAUGCCUGAACGGAUUUUAGAGACAGAUGAAAGAAGACCCAGGAAUAGAAGUACUACAUUUUGUUGAGUUCAAUGGAAAAAUCACACUGAAGAUGAAGCUACUUGGGAAAAACGGUUGGAAUUGUAGCGUGAUUUUUCAGAACUAUUCUUCCUUUGAGCUGAAUCUCGGGGAAGUGAUUCUCUUUAUGGGGGGUAGGUCUGCAACAUACUCAAAAAUUUCAAAUUUUUGAAGAAAAUUUAUCGCGACGAUUUUUUCAUUUGGCUCUUAUUGAAUUUUACUAAAUUGGAGCAUUUUAUUUUUUUUAUUCUUUUCAAAUUUAUAUCUUAAAAUAAAUACCUUUCGUUUUAUUUUAAAAAAUAUAUCAAACCUCUUGAUACUCUGAAAAUCUUAUUUAAAUUUUCUUGCCAAAGUUCAAAAAUUCCUCAAACUUCUCCCUUUAGAUUCCAUCUCCUUUGAAUCCUAUUCAAAAAUCAAAACCCUCCACACAAAAUCCCUAAAGGUUCCUAUUUGUUAGGGCCGAAUUUCAGUCUAUUUGGCCCAUUCCUUCUUUCUUCCUCUCCACUCCACUCCCUCCUCCUCAGGCCGCCAGCCCACCUAGAGUGUGGCCCAGCCGAGCCGGCCCAAUCAAGAGCGGCCCAGCCGGGCCCGCGAGGUCACCUCCUCUCUCUCCUAUGGGCGCCGCCGCCGCCGCCACCGCGCCACCACGGGCGCCGCCACAGCCCAGCCAAUCCCGCGCUCCGCCGCCGCCGCCGCGCCACCCCCGCGCCGCAACCACGCCUCCACCGCCGCAAACCGGGUCACCCCGUGGCGCCCCCACAGCCACCGCCGCCGGCUCCAUUUCCGCGGCCGCCGCCGCUGCCCACCGUUCUCGCCGCCGCCGCACGACGCCGCGCCACCUCCCGAGCCGCGUGUCGCCGCCGACCACCGAACCUCCAUCGCCGGCCAAUCCGACGAGGACACCCGGCGCCGCCAUCCGUAUCCCGAGCCGACGCCGCGGCGUGCCGUCGCCGGCUACAAAUACCGCAGCUCACCGGACAACAUUUCAUAUCCUCAUCAACCGCAUCCGCAUCCAUCCAUCUAUCCACCUCGCUCGAAGCUCGAUUGUCGCAACUCGCCGCGACGUGAUCAUCGGACAUCAGACUGAGUUAGUCUCGUAGGUGUUCGAUCGAUCGCCGGGAUGGCAUCAGCCUUGGCGCCGUUCCUGAUCCCCGCACACCUCCUGCAGCCCCACGCCGCGUCGGCGUCUUCCGGCCUGCAGCUCGCCGGCGCAAACGUGUUGCUGAGGGACGACGCUCCGCCCGAGGGAGGCCGAGGCCCGCACCACAAUGCCGUCCUCCUCCCACAGCCGCCGGUGAUGUUGGCGGCGGCGGCGGGCACUCCGGAGCAAGGCAACGGCCCCAAGAUCAACGCCGUCCUCAGGCGGCCCACGCCGCCCGGUGGCGCCGGACCUAGAGAAGGCAGCGGCGGACGCGGCGGAGUGAUCCACGCCAUCGCCGACUCCGCGCCGCAGAGGCCAGGCGCGCCGGCGGAGGGCGCCGGCGGCAAUGGUGGAGAUGUCCAUGUCGCUCCUGCUGCUGCUACCUCUUCUUGAGUGCAAAACUAAUUAAAGACGCGCAAAAUUAAAUUAAGAUGUGAUUAAUUUACCAAAUCCGAGGCUUGUUUGACAGGUUACAGUAAAUACAUAGAUUCAUAAUUUUGUAAGAUUUUCUAGAGGUAGCUAGAUUACUGUAUAUGAUAUUAUGUAGUAGCACGUACAUGUACAUGUGUGAGUUGAAGUUCAGAUAAAAGUGUCUGAAUUUCAGUUCGAAAUGAAGGGAAUAAAGUCAAACAGAUUACAAAAUGUUAUGCCUUGCAUAUACUCCUAUUCAAGUUCCUUUCUACUUUCAUUUUGUAAUAUUAAUAUUAUCAUUUUUUUUCAAAAAAUAUCUAUCUAUUAUAUUAUUAAAACAGUCUUGAAAGAAAGAAAUAUGUUCGCUGUGGAGGCUAGAAAUUCCCACAUUAAUCGAAGAAAAAGAAAUGAACAGUUCAAAUAGAGUACAAUUUAGAAAUAUCAAAAAUUCGAAAUUAAAAAUAAGUAGUAUUAGAAGAAGAGUCCUUAUUGAACCAAAUACGAGAUUAAUUAAAAUUCAGAAUUAAAAAUAAAAUAAAUUCUGAAAUUAGAAAAGGGAAAAAAGAGUUCAAGUAGAAAUAGAAGUUAGAAAUAUCUAAAAUUCGGAAUUAAAAAUAAUUAAUAUAUGAAGAAGAGUCCUUAUAGAACUGAAUAAGAGAAUAAUUGAAAUUUAGAAUAAAAAUAAAAUAAAUUUCGAAAAUAGAAAAAUAAUUAUAAGAGUUCAAGUAGAAAUACACUUUAUAAAUAAAAAAAUAUCAGAAUAAAAAAAUAUGGAAUUUUUUUUUAAAAAAAUUAAUCAAUCUAGAACUCAACGACAACAAAUAACAGUAAAAGAGGACAAGUAAUAGGCAUGUAAAUCAGUAAGGUGGUGAAGGGUUGAUGGGACAUCUAAAAAUUAUAAACAAAACCAGAAAUAGAACCCCAAGGAUGAUUAAGAGGUGGAAUGACAGACAGGACAUUAAGCAGCAUAGUCAUGACAGUUGGCGGGACUUCUAUAAAGUAAAAAAAUAAAUCGAAAUAACAAUCAUGUUUUAUUUUUAAAAUCUCAAUGAUAAUAAAUAGGGGAGACAACGGGCAGACCAUACAGGAGUAUAGUGGUGUGAAGCCGCUCUUCUAGAAAUUAAAAAAAUGAAUCCUUAAAAUUCGAAAUAAAGAAUAAAAUAAAUUUUGAAGAUAGAAAAAUAAUUCUAAGAUUUUAAGUAGGAAUACACUUUAUAGAUAAGAAAAUAUCGGAAUGAAAAAUAUGGAAUUUUCAAAAAAAAAAAUUAAAGUCCAUGUAGACCUCAACGAUGACAGAUAAUAAUAAAGAGGGGAGAAACAUUAGGCCCGUAAAGGAGUAAGUUGGUGGCCGUUGAUGUGACAUCUAAAAACUAUAAAUGAAACCACAAAUAUAAUCCCAAUGAUGAUUUUCUUUUACUGAAAUAAUCCCAAUGAUGAUUAAGAGGAGGAACGAUAGACAAGCCGUUAAGCAGCACGGUCACAAUGGUUGGCGGGACUUCUAGAAAGUAAAAAGUAAAUCGCAAUGACAAUCAUGUUCGAUUUUUCAAAUCUCAAUGAUAAUAAAAAUACAUGAGUAUAGUAUGGCGAAGCCGACGGCGGUUGGGCAGAUUUCUACAAAGUAAAAAGAUGAACCCUAACGAUAAUUAUGUUCAAUUUUUAAAAUCCUAUCAACAAUUAAUAUGGGAGACAAUAAGCGGAUCAUAGAGAAAUACAAUAUUGACGUUUGACAACACUCCUAAAAAUUAUAAUAACAGAACGUGACGAGACAAUGGACUCUAAAAAGUAGAAGGUGUAUUUUUUAAGGUUUAAUGGAAGAUAAAUAAAAGCCGUGAUAUAGAUCGGGUAAACAAAUAAAGGGGUGAUAAAAGAGCAAGAGUUAACGACUGGUGUGACUUUUAAAUAAAAACUAUAAAAAUUUAAGGAUGAUAAGGUUCGGUCUUUUAAGGUUAUAAGACAACAUAAUGGCUAUUUAAUAAAUUUUAAGUAAUUUCAAAUAUAGAAAAAUAGAUAAUUUUACAUGUGUGCUAGCUUUUGCGCGGAUCACCCAGCUAGUUUAGAAAUAUUUGAAUGAUAUACAAACACCAAGAGACAUCUCUUGAGAAUUUAAGGCCGUUCUAUAUGUACUCCAACCGCAAACUUCAAUUUACUCGUUUUUCGUUAGCACGUUUCCUAGACUGCUAAACGUUUUCUGUUGCAAAAGAAAAAAUAUGUAGAAGUUGUUAAAAAAUCAAAAUUUCAAAUUUACAAUAAUUAAUAUUUAAUUAAUUAUGUGCUAAUGAGUUUUCUCUUUUCGUUUUGUGUGCCCUGCAAAUAUUCUUGGUGAAACAAACGAAGCCAAAUCCGUUCCGAUAACCCCAAAACUCGCACUUUCGUUGCACAUUAACUAAAACACAAUUUUUAAGUCACAUGCCGUUGCCGUUGCCGUUGCCGGGCCGCUUCUCCGGCGUUUUCCUCAGUUCACCACAUGCCACCUCCUGCAGCUGGUCCUAUACCCUUACUGCAGGUCUGCAGCUGCAGCUCCGCCAUCAUUCUUCUUCUUCUUCUUCUUCCUUCUUUUUCUUCUUCUUCCAGCAGCUCAUGCCGGCAUCAGCAGCGUCCCCAUCACCACCAAGAACAGCAGCAUGCUAGUCUUCGUGUCCAGCUCCGGCGGCACCCAUGGGCAGGGCAAGGAGGCGGCGAGUGCGCAGGAGGGCAGAGCCGGCGAAGUUGCUGGCAGCGGCGAGAGCGAGACAGAGGCAUGCCGCGCCGACCAAGGCCCGCUCGGCGGCUGCAAGUAGAGGCCGAGGCGGCGGGAUAGGAGGAGGAGGGAGACCGCGACGGCGGCGGCAUCUGUUGAGCGGUUAAGGUGGUGGCAUGACUGUCACACACACUCCAAGCCGAGACGUGCGGGACGGAUUCAACAUCAAAUAACUUUGAUUUGAUCUAACCUCUUAAAGACGUUAUAACUGGAACCAAAUUUCUUAUAGUCAAAUAACAUACUUAGGGCAUAUUUAGCAGAGCUUGAACUCAUAAAUUUAACACCAUGAGUUGAGUCUGGAGUAGAGUUAUGGAGCUGCCUAAACCUAGAUCCACCUCGUUAGUUUAUUUUGUGAGAGUGCUCCACCCAACUACACUCCCAUUCUAGGUGGAGCUGAAAUUAUUUAGCUAGACUACAGCUCUAGUAGAGCUGUAGAGGUAGAGUUAGAGCUGUGCCAAACUGACUCUUCGUACUUACGGUGACACCAUGAAAACGAGAGUGAAAACACUGACAUGUAUAUAAUACAUACGGUGUGUCCACUGUCCACUCCAUGGUGUAUUACUGCUUCUCUGAUCGAGACACUGAUGCACUUCAGCACUUCGCAAUCGAUGACUAGAUCAAACACGUACGAUCACCACAUGUAAAUCGGUCAAGUCCAACACUGUGAAUACACACGUACGGACGAACAAAAAUCCAUUGACCACUUCCUCUCUCUCUUCGUCAACACCACUCACUAGCUACUGUCCGGUCAAACACCACACACCUGACCGUUUCGCCGCCGCGGCCACGCCCACACGCGGCGUCGCCGGCUACAAAUACCGCAGCUCACCGGACAACAUUUCAUCGUCGAUCAUCAACCGCAUCAGCAUCCAUCCAUCCAUCCAUCCGCCGCGCUCGAAGCUCGAUUAUCGCAACUCGCCGCGACGUGAUCAUCGGACAUCAGACUGAUCGCCGGAAUUAAUGGCAUCAGCCUUGGCAUCGCCGACCUCGCCGUCGUUCCUCCCGGCUCACCUCCUGCGGCCCCACGCCGCGUCGUCGUCUUCCGGCCUGCAGCUCGCCGGCGCAAAAGUGUUGGUGAGGGACGCUCCGCCCGAGACAGGCGGAGGCCCGC